AUUGAACGCUAGCGGCAUGCUUUACACAUGCAAGUCGAACGAGUGGCGGACGGGUGAGUAAUAGAUCAAAACGUGCCCAAGAGAGGGGGAUGACUACUCAAAAGAGUGGCUAAUACCGCUAACUGUGGGUGCGGCCGAUGUCGGAUUAGCUAUUUGGUGGGGUAAAGGCACACCAAGGCCACGAUCCGUAGCUGGUUUGAGAGGAAGACAAGCCACACUGGGACUGAGACACGGCCCAGACUCCUACGGGAGGCAGCAGUGGGGAAGUGUGGACAAUGGGGGAAACCCUGAUCCAGCCAUCCCGCGUGUAUGAGAAGGUCUUCGGGUUGUAAAGUACUUUUGGCAGAGAAGCGGUAUCUGCAGAAUAAGCACCGGCGAACUACGUGCCAGCAGCCGCGGUAAUAC
rnacentral:rRNA from 1 species